rnacentral:rRNA from 1 species
GACGAACGCUGGCGGCGUGCUUAACACAUGCAAGUCGAACGGAAAGGCCCUGCUUUUGUGGGGUGCUCGAGUGGCGAACGGGUGAGUAACACGUGAGUAACCUGCCCUUGACUUUGGGAUAACUUCAGGAAACUGGGGCUAAUACCGGAUAGGAGCUCCUGCUGCAUGGUGGGGGUUGGAAAGUUUCGGCGGUUGGGGAUGGACUCGCGGCUUAUCAGCUUGUUGGUGGGGUAGUGGCUUACCAAGGCUUUGACGGGUAGCCGGCCUGAGAGGGUGACCGGCCACAUUGGGACUGAGAUACGGCCCAGACUCCUACGGGAGGCAGCAGUGGGGAAUAUUGCACAAUGGGCGGAAGCCUGAUGCAGCAACGCCGCGUGCGGGAUGACGGCCUUCGGGUUGUAAACCGCUUUCGCCUGUGACGAAGCGCGAGUGACGGUAAUGGGUAAGGAAGCACCGGCUAACUACGUG